rnacentral:rRNA from 1 species
CACGUAGUUAGCCGGGGCUUCCUCCUCAAGUACCGUCAUUAUCUUCUUUGAGGACAGAGCUUUACGACCCGAAGGCCUUCAUCGCUCACGCGGCGUUGCUGCAUCAGGCUUUCGCCCAUUGUGCAAUAUUCCCCACUGCUGCCUCCCGUAGGAGUUUGGACCGUGUCUCAGUUCCAAUGUGGCCGAUCACCCUCUCAGGUCGGCUACUGAUCGUCGCCUUGGUAAGCCGUUACCUUACCAACUAGCUAAUCAGACGCGGGUCCAUCCUGUACCGCAAAAGCUUUGAUACUUCUACCAUGCGAUAAAAGUAUUUUAUCUCGUAUUAGCAUACCUUUCGGUAUGUUAUCCGUGUGUACAGGGCAGGUUACCCACGCGUUACUCACCCGUCCGCCGCUCUUUACCGAAGUAAAUCGCUCGACUUGCAUGUGUUAGGCACGCCGCCAGCGUUCAUCCUGAGCCAGGAUCAAACUC